rnacentral:rRNA from 1 species
GACGAACGCUGGCGGCGUGCCUAAUACAUGCAAGUAGGACGCAGUUGCGAACGGGUGAGUAACGCGUAGGUCACUACCUAUUAGAGGGGGAUAACUAUUGGAACCGAUAGCUAAUACCGCAUACUAGUAGCUGGACCUGCGUUGUAUUAGCUAGUAGGUUGGGUAAUGGCCUACCUAGGCAACGAUACAUAGCCGAGCCGGGGAGGUGGUCGGGCAAGAUGGGACUGGAAAACGGGCCAGACUCCUUCGGGGGGGAGCAGUAGGGGAUCUUCGGAAAAUGGGGGAACGCUGACCGCGCAACGCCGCGUGGGUGAAGGAAGGUUUCGGGUCGUAAAGCUCUUUUGAUAAGGAAGCGGUACUUAACCAGAAAGGGACGGCUAACUACGUGCCAGCAGCCGCGGUAAUUC